AAGAAAGUUGUCGGUUCUUGUACGAUUUCAUUACCAAUUCAUGUAGCUUCCCCCGGGUAAAACCGAUGAACUGUGGAUGAAGACUGUGAAAUGAACUAGAAUCUUUGUUACUCUCAGUAUUAGCAACAGUCUGGGACUU